AGAGAUAUCUCCGCCGAAAAUUAUUCCUUUUUUUUUAAUUAGAGAUAAAUAUAUUUGGCAUUUUUCAUCGUUAAUUCGAUAUACGUUUGAUGCGACUGAAAAUGCUCCUGUCUAUUUUGAAAGCAUCGUGAUUUUCAGUCGCAUCGUCAUAAUGUCAUACUCGCGAUGCACGGCCACUUGGCGCCCUCAUUGAAGAUGCCAGAAAACACAGCCAAAUAACUCAAUCAUGCAUGCAAAUAAACUACUUUUCAAUAGAAACCUAAUUAAAUAGAAACACGAAAGUCAAAGAUAUUGUAAUCGCAGAUUAAUGCAAUUAUAAGUAAUAUUCUUUGCAGUGACUUGAGGAGAAGAAAAAAUUCGAAGAGUGGAAGAAGCCGCCGGCAGCUUGAUAACUACAAGUAUUGAUACUAUCAUUAACUUAUUUAUUAUUUUGUAUAUUAAAAACUUUGGGCUAAUUAAAAUCUGUUAAAUAGUUUUUUUUUUUUUAAACUUUUGAUUAUAACCAAACAAAGAGACAUAAUAAAUCUCCUUUGACAUUCCUAAUGUAAAGGGUCUUUAUCGAAGUUUCUUCCUGUUGAUUCUUUCAAAAUAGUCGGUCCAAUAUUUUAAACUAAUAUCAACAGUCAUUUUAUGUAGUUACAACUUGCAUGGCGUUAAUAACAAUUGUAAAAUGGGGAAAUAAUUCGUGAACCACUCGUUUGCCAUUUGGUGAGGUGGUUGAUAUCUCAUGAGCUCAUUAUCAAGAUUGAUUGUUCAAGUGUACAAAUAAAUUUUCAUUUAAUUUAAUAAAGGGUGGAAUUAUUUACAC
rnacentral:lncRNA from 1 species